rnacentral:rRNA from 1 species
AACGUAGGGGGCAAGCGUUGCCCGGAUUCACUGGGCGUAAAGCGCGUGUAGGCGGUCCGUUAAGUCGGAUGUGAAAUCUCUGGGCUCAACCCAGAAAUCGCAUCCGAUACUGGCGGACUUGAGGAUGGUAGAGGUUGGUGGAAUUCCCGGUGUACCGGUGAAAUGGACAGAUAUCGGGAGGAACACCAGUGGCGAAGGCGGCCAACUGGGCCAUUCCUGACGCUGAGGAGCGAAAGCGUGGGGAGCGAACAGG